UGAGGUAGAUGAACUCGGACUGGUCAGCAGUGGAGGGAGCAGCCCGGGAGGUAGCGACGACGGAUGAGAAAGGGAUCUUUGGUAGAAGAGGGAGGAAGAAAGAGCGGAGAGAGUAGGGAUUCGAGGACGUGGUGAGGAGGAUAAAAAGGGGAAAGGAAUUUGAGGAGAAGAGGGAGGUUGUUGAUGUGCGAGGCGGAGGAGAGAAACUGGUUCCCUAGGGUUUUCAACUCUGCGACGUUGUAUCUUCCUUUCUUCUUCCUUGGAGGAUCCACGCACGUCAUGGUUCGACGCAAAAGAGGAAGCCUGGAAACACGGGGAAAAAUGGAAUAUGAAACGUAUUAUGAAGUUUUGAAAAUUCAAGGAAUAAUGGAAAACUUUUGAGCAUAGGAGGAAGAUUUGGGAAAUUUUGAGGGUAGCAGAGAAGAUUUCGGAAAUUUGAACUUACGAGGGAAGGAUCAAUGCUAUAAAAUAUAUUUUAAUUUUAAGAGGUUAUAAACCUCUUCUAAAAACAAUUAAAACUCCCGUUAUUAUUCACGGUCCAACAACUCAUUAUAAUAAUUUUAAGUAAUAUUAAUUUGUGGAGGGUUUUUAUAACCUCCUCCAAAUAACUCCCGCUAAAUACCUUUUUUUUUGUAGUGGUAUUAUAUGUGGUUUAAAAAAAAGAAUUAAAAAUGGGUUACUUUUUGGCUUCUAGCUGACAAAUAAUACGUCGAAGCCCUUAAAAAAUUCGAUGUACUAUUGGUGGUUUAAAAGAAAGAAGAAAGAGAAUGAUGCGCUGAUUUAAAUAGUUACCAUAAUAUAACAUUAAAUUGUAUGGGGCUUCGACGUUCUACAAUAGUAUUUAUUUACAAAAAUGCCACCAGUCAUUUUUAACGUUAGC
rnacentral:lncRNA from 1 species